rnacentral:rRNA from 1 species
UACGGAGGGGGCUAGCGUUGUUCGGAAUUACUGGGCGUAAAGCGCACGUAGGCGGCUUUGUAAGUUAGAGGUGAAAGCCCGGGGCUCAACUCCGGAACUGCCUUUAAGACUGCAUCGCUUGAACAUCGGAGAGGUAAGUGGAAUUCCGAGUGUAGAGGUGAAAUUCGUAGAUAUUCGGAAGAACACCAGUGGCGAAGGCGACUUACUGGACGAUUGUUGACGCUGAGGUGCGAAAGCCAGGGGAGCGAACGGG